rnacentral:pre_miRNA from 1 species
UUUGUACUCCCUCCGUCCCAAAAUUAUUGUCUUAAAUUUGUCUAAAUACGGAUGUAUCUAGUUAUAUUUUAGUGUUAGAUACAUCCGUAUCUAAACAAAUGUAAGACAAGAAUUUUGGGACGGAGGGAAUACUAC